GAUGAACGCUAGCGGCAGGCUUAACACAUGCAAGUCGAGGGGUAACAGGGAUUGCUUGCAAUCCGCUGACGACCGGCGCACGGGUGCGUAACGCGUAUAGAACCUACCUUAUAUUGGGGGAUAGCCCAGAGAAAUUUGGAUUAAUACCCCAUAGUAUGCUGAAGUGGCAUCGCUUUAGUAUUAAAGAUUUAUCGAUAUAAGAUGGCUAUGCGUUCUAUUAGCUAGUUGGUAUGGUAACGGCAUACCAAGGCUACGAUAGAUAGGGGUCCUGAGAGGGAGAUCCCCCACACUGGUACUGAGACACGGACCAGACUCCUACGGGAGGCAGCAGUGAGGAAUAUUGGACAAUGGAGGCAACUCUGAUCCAGCCAUGCCGCGUGCAGGAAGACUGCCCUAUGGGUUGUAAACUGCUUUUAUAGAGGAAGAAACCCCCCGACGAGUCGGGGUCUGACGGUACUCUACGAAUAAGGAUCGGCUAACUCCG
rnacentral:rRNA from 1 species